rnacentral:rRNA from 1 species
GAGAAACGCUGGCGGCGCACAUAAGACAUGCAAGUCGAACGGAAUUUAGUCGAAUGUUACAUGAGACGAAAUUUAGCGGCGGACGGGUGAGUAACGCGUGAGCAACCUGCCUAUCACUGGGGAAUAACGCAGCGAAAGUUGUGCUAAUACCGCAUGAGACCACAGAGGGACAUCCCUAAGGGGUCAAAGAUUUUAUCGGUGAUAGAUGGGCUCGCGUCUGAUUAGCUAGUUGGUGAGGUAACGGGCCCCACCAAGGCGACGAUCAGUAGCCGACCUGAGAGGGUGAUCGGCCACAUUGGAACUGAGAAACGGUCCAAACUCCUACGGGAGGCAGCAGUGGGGAAUAUUGGGCAAUGGGCGAAAGCCUGACCCAGCAACGCCGCGUGAAGGAAGAAGGCCUUCGGGUUGUAAACUUCUUUUACCAGGGACGAACACAAUGACGGUACCUGGAGAAAAAGCAACGGCUAACUACGUG